GAUUUUUUAAAAGCGCCAGAACUGGGCCUGGGACGGAUAGGUCCAGUUGACGAGGAGGAGGAGUAUCGAGCUUUCGGCGGAUGCCUCCCGGCUGCCACACACAGCCGUAUGUUUUUCCACAAAUCGGCGGGGCGACCCGGCGGACAAAGGGAAAAGCAUGUGGGAAG
rfam:Bacillus coagulans 36D1, complete genome.